rnacentral:lncRNA from 1 species
CUUCGCUUGCAGAAGCACGCCACAGUCACAUAAAGAUAUGUUUAUUGGAAGUCAGGCAGCUUCCCAUUAGAAGAGGUGAAUGGACACUGAUGUAUGAGACCUAUUGACUGCUUUUGUACAUGGAGAAAGAGUUGCGUGGUGCGAGACUUCAGGGAUCCUAAUAGUCUACACUUGAUAUUUGGAAGGCAAAGUGGAGCUCUGAUCAGUGGGAAAUGACAUCCAACAACAUCUCCUUCAUCUCCGAACAAUCAGUGCUACCUUUUCACUCUUAACACAGCUCUGAAGGACAAUACAUUAUUGUUGUUUUGAAUGAGGAAUAUCAUCUGGUGGGAUACUGAGAAGCUACCACGACAGCCAAGGAUUUCUAGACAUCUGGUGUCUCUGACAUGUGAGGUCCCUUUACUUCUUUAUUCAAUUAAGCAAAUAAAAAAAUCGACAAAGACAAUGAUGUGCUGAGCCUUGUGAGUGACACAGAAACAGGUAACUGGACUUCAACCUCUCGGAUUUUUCUUUCCAUCCUCCCUUUCUUCAGAGACAAAG